GGGUCAGUAGGUUGGUCGUGCCACCGGUACGUACUGGUCUCACUGAUUCCUCCUUCCUGAAGAACCGUAAUGCCAUUAAUUUGGUGGUGCGGGGAAACAGGACUGUUACUUUGAAAAAAUUAGAGUGUUUAAAGCAAGCUAACGCUUGAAUACAAUAGCAUGGAAUAAUGAAAUAGGACGAUCGAUCCUAUUUUGUUGGUUUCUAGGAUUGACGUA
rnacentral:rRNA from 1 species